AUUGAACGCUGGCGGCAUGCCUUACACAUGCAAGUCGAACGGUAGAGGGGGCGACCCCUUGAGAGUGGCGAACGGGUGAGUAAAGCAUCGGAACGUGCCCAGUAGUGGGGGAUAGCCCGGCGAAAGCCGGAUUAAUACCGCAUACGACCUACGGGUGAAAGGGGGGGAUCGCAAGACCUCUCGCUAUUGGAGCGGCCGAUGUCAGAUUAGGUAGUUGGUGGGGUAAAGGCCUACCAAGCCGACGAUCUGUAGCUGGUCUGAGAGGACGACCAGCCACACUGGGACUGAGACACGGCCCAGACUCCUACGGGAGGCAGCAGUGGGGAAUUUUGGACAAUGGGCGCAAGCCUGAUCCAGCCAUGCCGCGUGCGGGAAGAAGGCCUUCGGGUUGUAAACCGCUUUUGUCAGGGAAGAAAAGCCUUGGGUUAAUACCCUGGGGUGAUGACGGUACCUGAAGAAUAAGCACCGGCUAACUACGUGCCAGCAGCCGCCGUAAAAC
rnacentral:rRNA from 1 species